CGGGCCCCUGGCUGGGAUAUCUCCUCACAGGAGGCUGAGCAGGUCUUCCUUUCUGGUCUGGAUUAUCAUUGCAGAGUUGAAGCCAUUCCUGCAGCAACUGGUGGAAAACGGGGGAUCUUUUUGGUGCUUUUGUUCUAGCAUAAAUAAUUUUGUUCUUUCGUAUAAUAUAAAUAAAUACAUAUGUAUAUAUAAAUAAAUUCAUGCUUGAAUCAUU